rnacentral:tRNA from 2 species
CGGGAUAGCUCAGUUGGUAGAG